rnacentral:rRNA from 1 species
GAUUAGUGGCGAACGGGUGAGUAACACGUGGGCAAUCUGCCCUUCACUCUGGGACAAGCCCUGGAAACGGGGUCUAAUACCGGAUAACACCGGCUUCCGCAUGGGAGCUGGUUGAAAGCUCCGGCGGUGAAGGAUGAGCCCGCGGCCUAUCAGCUUGUUGGUGGGGUAAUGGCCUACCAAGGCGACGACGGGUAGCCGGCCUGAGAGGGCGACCGGCCACACUGGGACUGAGACACGGCCCAGACUCCUACGGGAGGCAGCAGUGGGGAAUAUUGCACAAUGGGCGAAAGCCUGAUGCAGCGACGCCGCGUGAGGGAUGACGGCCUUCGGGUUGUAAACCUCUUUCAGCAGGGAAGAAGCGAAAGUGACGGUACCUGCAGAAGAAGCGCCGGCUAACUACGUGCCAGCAGCCGCGGUAAUACGUAGGGCGCAAGCGUUGUCCGGAAUUAUUGGGCGUAAAGAGCUCGUAGGCGGCUUGUCACGUCGGGUGUGAAAGCCCGGGGCUUAACCCCGGGUCUGCAUCCGAUACGGGCAGGCUAGAGUGUGGUAGGGGAGAUCGGAAUUCCUGGUGUAGCGGUGAAAUGCGCAGAUAUCAGGAGGAACACCGGUGGCGAAGGCGGAUCUCUGGGCCAUUACUGACGCUGAGGAGCGAAAGCGUGGGGAGCGAACAGGAUUAGAUACCCUGGUAGUCCACGCCGUAAACGUUGGGAACUAGGUGUUGGCGACAUU